rnacentral:snRNA from 1 species
GUGCUCACUUUGGCGACAUGUAUACUAAAAUUAGCAUAAUACAGAGAAGCUUAGCAUGGCCCCUGCACAAGGACAUACAAAUUUGUUGAGCAAGAUGUAUUUCU